UUUUUUCUCACUGAAUGCCUGAUGUACACAACUGAAUACUCCAUUCAGAAAUGAACUGAUAGUUGAAAUAAUAAUGUUUUUCUCUUCUUUAUCAUUUUCAGCUACCCCCCCCCCCAGGUAAUCUCUCACACUUACUGUAUAUUUGACAGCAGUGGUUUGAACUUUUUAAUCACCUAAUAUCUGAUUUACAGCUAACGUAAAACUCUACAUUCAGAAAUGAGUCAUGGAAAGAAUGACUUCUCACACCUAUGUAUAUAUUUUACAUUUGGUGCACCUGAAAUAGAAAAAUGCAAACACACAAGUGUCCAAUUGCUUCCACACAUCUUACUGACACAGCUAUGUUUUGUUUUCCCACCAAAUUCCUAAUCCAUACUGUUCUUUCAAAAAUGUAUUAUUAUUUAAAUAAUGACAUUUUGAUCUGAUUCACUUUUCAGUUGAGGACCUCACAGUGUACGCGCAUAUAAAAGCUGUCGUUACAUUUGCCCCGGGAGCUAACGUGACAGAAAUCCUCCAACAAUUCAUUUUAAAUGCAACUGGUGGUUUCUGCGACGACGAUUGCCAAAUUGAUGCAACGGUAACCCCCGCAGCAGACGAGACACCGCCCCCCUUCUAACUCCUCCGUAUGCCAAAAUGUUCCAUGCUCGCUGUCCCAGUUUGUCAAUAUUGAUGUGUGCUUGUGUCUACUGCGAUCAUUGAAACAUUAAAAGAGUACAAUCAUCAUCA